rnacentral:rRNA from 1 species
GAUGAACGCUGGCGGCGUGCCUAAUACAUGCAAGUCGAACGAGUUUUGGUCGAUGAACGGUGCUUGCAUCGUGAUUCAACUUAAAACGAGUGGCGGACGGGUGAGUAACACGUGGGUAACCUGCCCUUAAGUGGGGGAUAACAUUUGGAAACAGAUGCUAAUACCGCAUAAAUCCAAGAACCGCAUGGUUCUUGGCUGAAAGAUGGCGUAAGCUAUCGCUUUUGGAUGGACCCGCGGCGUAUUAGCUAGUUGGUGAGGUAACGGCUCACCAAGGCGAUGAUACGUAGCCGAACUGAGAGGUUGAUCGGCCACAUUGGGACUGAGACACGGCCCAAACUCCUACGGGAGGCAGCAGUAGGGAAUCUUCCACAAUGGACGCAAGUCUGAUGGAGCAACGCCGCGUGAGUGAAGAAGGCUUUCGGGUCGUAAAACUCUGUUGUUGGAGAAGAAUGGUCGGCAGAGUAACUGUUGUCGGCGUGACGGUAUCCAACCAGAAAGCCACGGCUAACUACGUGCCAGCAGCCGCGGUAAUACGUAGGUGGCAAGCGUUAUCCGGAUUUAUUGGGCGUAAAGCGAGCGCAGGCGGUUUUUUAAGUCUGAUGUGAAAGCCCUCGGCUUAACCGAGGAAGCGCAUCGGAAACUGGGAAACUUGAGUGCAGAAGAGGACAGUGGAACUCCAUGUGUAGCGGUGAAAUGCGUAGAUAUAUGGAAGAACACCAGUGGCGAAGGCGGCUGUCUGGUCUGUAACUGACGCUGAGGCUCGAAAGCAUGGGUAGCGAACAGGAUUAGAUACCCUGGUAGUCCAUGCCGUAAACGAUGAAUGCUAGGUGUUGGAGGGUUUCCGCCCUUCAGUGCCGCAGCUAACGCAUUAAGCAUUCCGCCUGGGGAGUACGACCGCAAGGUUGAAACUCAAAGGAAUUGACGGGGGCCCGCACAAGCGGUGGAGCAUGUGGUUUAAUUCGAAGCAACGCGAAGAACCUUACCAGGUCUUGACAUCUUUUGAUCACCUGAGAGAUCAGGAUGCCSGCUUCGGGUGAUACAAA